GACGAACGCUGGCGGCGUGCUUAACACAUGCAAGUCGAGCGGUAAGGCCCUUUCGGGGGUACACGAGCGGCGAACGGGUGAGUAACACGUGGGUGACCUGCCUUUAGCUCUGGGAUAAGCCUGGGAAACUGGGUCUAGUACCGGAUAUGACCCUAUGGCGCAUGUUGUGGGGUGGAAAGCCUUGUGCGGCUAGGGAUGGGCCCGCGGCCUAUCAGCUUGUUGGUGGGGUGAUGGCCUACCAAGGCGACGACGGGUAGCCGGCCUGAGAGGGCGACCGGCCACACUGGGACUGAGACACGGCCCAGACUCCUACGGGAGGCAGCAGUGGGGAAUCUUGCGCAAUGGGCGAAAGCCUGACGCAGCGACGCCGCGUGAGGGAUGACGGCCU
rnacentral:rRNA from 1 species